AGAUCUUUAGUGUGAAAGAAGUCUAAAUUUAGAAAAUGCUGGGUUGAGCUGGAGAGAUGGCUCAGCAGUGAAAGGCUAGUCUCACAACCAAAAAUA
rnacentral:miRNA from 1 species